GCCCGGCUAGCUCAAUCGGUAGAGCGUGAGACUCUUACCACCCUUCUAGGGCGAUAUCUCAAGGCUGCGGGUUCGACCCCCGCGUUGGGCU
rnacentral:tRNA from 1 species